rnacentral:rRNA from 1 species
GGAGGUAGUGACAAUAAAUCACAAUGCGGAACAAUGUUUUGCAAUUGGAUUGAGAACAACGUACAAACCUUAUCGAUAAACAAUUGGAGGGCAAGUCUGGUGCCAGCAGCCGCGGUAAUUCCAGCUCCAAUAGCGUAUAUUAACGUUGUUGCAGUUAAAAAGCUCGUAGUUGAAAUGAAGGGUAGUUGUGUAAUGAAUACAUUCGUGUAUUUUGUUAUUCAAGUACCCUCCUUCUAAAUUCGAUAUAUGAGUAUUAAUUUACUUGUAUAUGGUUUUAGACUUUUACUGUGAGAAAAUUAGAGUGUUCAAAGCAGGCAUUUGCUUGAAUAUAUUAGCAUGGAAUAAUCAUGUAUGAUUUUCAUGAUGUAUUUGAUUGGUUUGGUUGAUGAGAAUAAGAUUAAAAGGGACAGUUGGGGGUAUUCAUAUUCAAUAGUCAGAGGUGAAAUUCUCGGAUUUAUGGAAGAUGAACAAGUGCGAAAGCAUUUACCAAGGAUGUUUU